CCUACGGGAGGCUGCAGUGAGGACUAUUGGUCAAUGGCCGGAAGGCUGAACCAGCCAUGCCGCGUGAAGGUCAGUGCCCUAUGGGCGUUAAACUUCUUUUGUGCGGGAGCAAUAAUGGUCACGUGUGGCCAGACGAGAGUACCGUACGAAGCAGCAUCGGCUAACUCCGUGCCAGCAGCGGCGGUAAUACGGGGGAUGCAAGCGUUAUCCGGAUUUAUCGGGUGUAAAGGGUGCGUAGGCUGUGAGGUAAGUCAGCGGUGAAAUGCCCCCGCUCAACGGGGUGAAGUGCCAUUGAUACUGCCGUGCUGGAAUGCGGAUGCCGUGGGAGGAAUGUGUGGUGUAGCGGUGAAAUGCAUAGAUAUCACACAGAACACCGAUUGCGAAGGCAUCUCACGAAUCCGCGAUUGACGCUGAUGCACGAAAGCGUGGGUAUCAAACAGGAUUAGAUACCCUUGUAGUC
rnacentral:rRNA from 1 species